GGGCGGUUAGCUCAGCGGUAGAGCACUGUGUUGACAUCGCAGGGGUCACAAGUUCAAACCUUGUACCGCCCACCA
rnacentral:tRNA from 1 species